rnacentral:rRNA from 1 species
AACGAACGCUGGCGGCAUGCCUAACACAUGCAAGUCGAACGAGACCUUCGGGUCUAGUGGCGCACGGGUGCGUAACGCGUGGGAACCUGCCCUUAGGUUCGGAAUAACUCCCCGAAAGGGGUGCUAAUACCGGAUAAUGUCUUCGGACCAAAGAUUUAUCGCCUUUGGAUGGGCCCGCGUUGGAUUAGCUAGUUGGUAGGGUAAAAGCAUACCAAGGCGACGAUCCAUAGCUGGUCUGAGAGGAUGAUCAGCCACACUGGGACUGAGACACGGCCCAGACUCCUACGGGAGGCAGCAGUGGGGAAUAUUGUACAAUGGGCGAAAGCCUGAUCCAGCAAUGCCGCGUGAGUGAUGAAGGCCUUAGUGUUGUAAAGCUCUUUUACCCGAGAUGAUAAUGACAGUACCGGGAGAAUAAGCUCCGGCUAACUCCGUG